rnacentral:misc_RNA from 1 species
GUGAAUCAUCGAAUUUUUGAACGCAAAUUGCACUCUCCUCGGAGAGUAUGCCUGUUUGAGGGUCAGCCUAUAAAAAAUCGACAUCGUUGCUGUUUCGCGGUGACGUUCGUCGGAAAUUGGGUCAUCUUAAACCCUUUUGGUUUUAAGCGCUUAAAAUUUUUCUUAUUGGUCCCAUGAACGUUCCUAAGAUUACUUUUUUUACACGUAUAAGG